CCUACGGGUGGCAGCAGUGGGGAAUAUUGGGCAAUGGGCGCAAGCCUGACCCAGCAAUGCCGCGUGAAGGAAGAAGGCUUUCGGGUUGUAAACUUCUUUGACAGGGGAAGAGCAGAAGACGGUACCCUGAAAACAAGCCACGGCUAACUACGUGCCAGCAGCCGCGGUAAUACGUAGGUGGCAAGCGUUGUCCGGAUUUACUGGGUGUAAAGGGCGUGUAGCCGGGAAGGCAAGUCAGAUGUGAAAUCCGGAGGCUCAACCUCCGAAUUGCAUUUGAAACUGUUUUUCUUGAGUACUGGAGAGGCAGACGGAAUUCCUUGUGUAGCGGUGAAAUGCGUAGAUAUAAGGAGGAACACCAGUGGCGAAGGCGACGAUCUGGCCUGCAACUGACGCUCAGUCCCGAAAGCGUGGGGAGCAAAUAGGAUUAGAUACCCUAGUAGUC
rnacentral:rRNA from 1 species